rnacentral:rRNA from 1 species
AAAUUGAAGAGUUUGAUCAUGGCUCAGAUUGAACGCUGGCGGCAGGCCUAACACAUGCAAGUCGAACGGUAACAGGAAGCAGCUUGCUGCUUUGCUGACGAGUGGCGGACGGGUGAGUAAUGUCUGGGAAACUGCCUGAUGGAGGGGGAUAACUACUGGAAACGGUAGCUAAUACCGCAUAACGUCGCAAGACCAAAGAGGGGGACCUUUGGGCCUCUUGCCAUCGGAUGUGCCCAGAUGGGAUUAGCUUGUUGGUGGGGUAACGGCUCACCAAGGCGACGAUCCCUAGCUGGUCUGAGAGGAUGACCAGCCACACUGGAACUGAGACACGGUCCAGACUCCUACGGGAGGCAGCAGUGGGGAAUAUUGCACAAUGGGCGCAAGCCUGAUGCAGCCAUGCCGCGUGUAUGAAGAAGGCCUUCGGGUUGUAAAGUACUUUCAGCGGGGAGGAAGGGAGUAAAGUUAAUACCUUU